rfam:TPA: Bos taurus chromosome 1, whole genome shotgun sequence.
CCCCUGGUGGUCCAGUGGUUAAGACUCUGCACUUCCAUUGCAGGGAGCGCAGGUUCAGUGCCUGAUCAGGGAA